rnacentral:lncRNA from 10 species
GUUUGUUUUUUUCUUGUAAAUUUGUUUGAGUUCUUUGUAGAUUCUGGAUAUUAGCCCUUUGUCAGAUGAGUAGAUUGUAAAAAUUUUCUCCCAUUCUGUAGGUUUCCUGUUCACUCUGAUGGUAGUUUCUUUUGCUGUGCAGAAGCUCUUUAGUUUAAUUAGAUCCCUUUAUGUCUUUCAGCUUUCAGGUUCCACUCUAUUUUGGCCUCCAGGGAUUUAUUCUUCUGUAUCACUGCAUUAUAAUUUAUGUGAAACUCACAAACUAAGAGUUGCCAACAAAGAACUUGAGUAGAAUGAAGAAUAGCUUGAAUAGUCUCUACAAGUAGAAAGAUUGGACUUCAAAACUUGUGUCUUUUGGAAGAAGAUGUGAAAGGAGCCACUGUUGAUUUAAAU